UACGUAGGGUCCAAGCGUUAAUCGGAAUUACUGGGCGUAAAGCGUGCGUAGGCGGUCUCGCAAGUCCGAUGUGAAAUCCCCGGGCUCAACCUGGGAACUGCGCUUGUGACUGCAAGGCUAGAGUAUGGCAGAGGGGGGUGGAAUUCCGCGUGUAGCAGUGAAAUGCGUAGAUAUGCGGAGGAACACCGAUGGCGAAGGCAAUCCCCUGGGCCUGCACUGACGCUCAUGCACGAAAGCGUGGGGAGCAAACAGG
rnacentral:rRNA from 1 species